GCUUCACUCACACACACACCUAAGGCCAAGAGAGAAAAUUGUGGGAUUUGUGUAGUUUUGUGUGGAUUAAGGCUUGAAGUGUGUGCAAUGAAGUAUUUUGGUAAAAGCUCGAUCCCGAUACUAAUGGAAAGUCCAAGAUUGAGCAGAGCAACCUAGGCGGCCGGGAUGGGAUCUAGGAAUGCAUUAGAAUAUUGCAUUUAUGUUUCCUUAAUAAAUGCACUUGCACAAUAAAUUUAGUUUUUCUUUGGAUUUUUAAUUAUUGAAUCAAACAUAAUUGUUUAUUUCGAAAUAACUGUUUCCGCAUUUAUUAAAGCUCUGAGUUUUAAAAUCUUUA